rnacentral:rRNA from 1 species
UACAGAGGGUGCAAGCGUUAAUCGGAAUUACUGGGCGUAAAGCGCGCGUAGGUGGUUUGUUUAAGUUGAAUGUGAAAUCCCCGGGCUCAACCUGGGAACUGCAUCCAAAACUGGCAAGCUAGAGUAGGGCAGAGGGUGGUGGAAUUUCCUGUGUAGCGGUGAAAUGCGUAGAUAUAGGAAGGAACACCAGUGGCGAAAGCGAACCUCUGGCAGCAGCUGACGCUGUGGCACGAAGGCUAGGGGGAGCAAAACGGG